rnacentral:rRNA from 1 species
AACGAACGCUGGCGGCAGGCCUAACACAUGCAAGUCGAGCGCACCCUUCGGGGCGAGCGGCGGACGGGUUAGUAACGCGUGGGAACGUACCCUUUUCUAUGGAAUAGCCUCGGGAAACUGAGAGUAAUACCAUAUAAGCCCUUCGGGGAAGGAUUAUCGGGAAGGAUCGGCCGCGUUAGAUUAGAUAGUUGGUGGGGUAAGUGGCCUACCAAGUCUACGAUCUAUAGCUGGUUUUAGAGGAUGAUCAGCAACACUGGGACUGAGACACGGCCCAGACUCCUACGGGAGGCAGCAGUGGGGAAUCUUAGACAAUGGGCGCAAGCCUGAUCUAGCCAUGCCGCGUGUGUGAUGAAGGUCUUAGGAUCGUAAAG